rnacentral:rRNA from 1 species
GACGAACGCUGGCGGCGUGCUUAACACAUGCAAGUCGAACGGAAAGGCCCUGCUUUUGUGGGGUGCUCGAGUGGCGAACGGGUGAGUAACACGUGAGUAACCUGCCCUUGACUUUGGGAUAACUUCAGGAAACUGGGGCUAAUACCGGAUAGGAGCUCCGGCGGCAGGGGGGGGGUUGGAAAGUUUCGGCGGUUGGGGAUGGACUCGCGGCUUAUCAGCUUGUUGGUGGGGUAGUGGCUUACCAAGGCUUUGACGGGUAGCCGGCCUGAGAGGGUGACCGGCCACAUUGGGACUGAGAUACGGCCCAGACUCCUACGGGAGGCAGCAGUGGGGAAUAUUGCACAAUGGGCGGAAGCCUGAUGCAGCAACGCCGCGUGCGGGAUGACGGCCUUCGGGUUGUAAACCGCUUUCGCCUGUGACGAAGCGUGAGUGACGGUAAUGGGUAAAGAAGCACCGGCUAACUACGUG